rnacentral:misc_RNA from 1 species
GGGUACCCUUGACAGCAGCACAAGCCUUUGGCUCAUCCACCAUCAAACCAUCUCUAUAUGUUGCCCUGUAUCCAUGCAACUGGCCCAUAGUAAUGGUGGUGACAGUGACGUGACCCACAUAUGUCAUGCUAGCCAAGGCUUCUCCUCUAAAUCCCAUCGACCUAAUGGACUGCAAAUCUUCAAAUUUACUCAGCUUGGACGUAGUAUACCUCUCGCAUAAAAUUGGCAAAUCUUCAUAACGGAUUCCAUGGCCAUCGUCGGAAACUUGGAUAAGUUUAAGACCGCCAUCCUUAACAACAACGGAAAUAGAGGUGGAAUCAGCAUCCAGGCUGUUCUCAAUGAGCUCUUUCACGGCAGAGACUGGCCUUUGGAUGACUUCGCCAGCCGCUAUUCUGUUCACCACACAUUCUUCCAGCCGCUGAAUCUUCGGUGGCUCCUUCGGAAUCGGCACUGGAAUGGCUUCGUCUUCCAUUUCCA